rnacentral:rRNA from 1 species
AUUGAACGCUGGCGGCAGGCCUAACACAUGCAAGUCGAACGGUAACAGGAAGCAGCUUGCUGCUUAGCGGACGAGUGGCGGACGGGGGAGUAAUGUACGGGGAGCUGCCUGUUGGAGGGGGGGAACUACUAGAAACGGUAGCUAAUACCGCAUAAUGUCGCAAGACCAGAGAGGGGGACCUCCGCGGCCCUUGCCAUCGGGUGUGCCCAGAUGGGGUUAGCUAGUUGGCGGGGUAACGGCUCACCAAGGCGACGAUCCCUAGCUGGUCUGAGAGGAUGACCAGCCACACUGGAACUGAGACACGGUCCAGACUCCUACGGGAGGCAGCAGUGGGGAAUAUUGCACAAUGGGCGCAAGCCUGAUGCAGCCAUGCCGCGUGGAUGAAGAAGGCCUUCGGGUUGUAAAGUACUUUCAGCGGGGAGGAAGGGAAUAAAGUUAAUACCUUUGCUCAUUGACGUUACCCGCAGAAGAAGCACCGGCUAACUCCGUG